rnacentral:rRNA from 1 species
UGGGGAAUAUUGCGCAAUGGGGGGAACCCUGACGCAGCCAUGCCGCGUGAAUGAAGAAGGCCUUAGGGUUGUAAAGUUCUUUCGGUAUUGAGGAAGGUUGAUGUGUUAAUAGCACAUCAAAUUGACGUUAAAUACAGAAGAAGCACCGGCUAACUCCGUGCCAGCAGCCGCGGUAAUACGGAGGGUGCGAGCGUUAAUCGGAAUAACUGGGCGUAAAGGGCACGCAGGCGGUUAUUUAAGUGAGGUGUGAAAGCCCUGGGCUUAACCUAGGAAUUGCAUUUCAGACUGGGUAACUAGAGUACUUUAGGGAGGGGUAGAAUUCCACGUGUAGCGGUGAAAUGCGUAGAGAUGUGGAGGAAUACCGAAGGCGAAGGCAGCCCCUUGGGAAUGUACUGACGCUCAUGUGCGAAAGCGUGGGGAGCAAACAGGAUUAGAUACCCUGGUAGUCCACGCUGUAAACGCUGUCGAUUUGGGGGUUGGGGUUUAACUCUGGCGCCCGUAGCUAACGUGAUAAAUCGACCGCCUGGGGAGUACGGCCGCAAGGUUAA